rnacentral:rRNA from 1 species
UACGAAGGGGGCUAGCGUUGCUCGGAAUCACUGGGCGUAAAGCGCACGUAGGCGGAUUGCUAAGUCAGGGGUGAAAUCCUGGAGCUCAACUCCAGAACUGCCCUUGAUACUGGCGGUCUCGAGUCCGGGAGAGGUGAGUGGAACUGCGAGUGUAGAGGUAAAAUUCGUAGAUAUUCGCAAGAACACCAGUGGCGAAGGCGGCUCACUGGCCCGGUACUGACGCUGAGACGCGAAAGCGUGGGGAGCAAACAGG